UACGAAGGGGGCUAGCGUUGUUCGGAAUUACUGGGCGUAAAGAGCGUGUAGGCGGCCAGGUAGGUCGGUUGUGAAAACUGGAGGCUCAACCUUCAGAGGUCGACCGAAACCAUCUGGCUAGAGUCCGGGAGAGGAGAGUGGAAUUCCUGGUGUAGCGGUGAAAUGCGCAGAUAUCAGGAAGAACACCCGUGGCGAAAGCGGCUCUCUGGAACGGUACUGACGCUGAGACGCGAAAGCGUGGGGAGCGAACAGG
rnacentral:rRNA from 1 species